rnacentral:rRNA from 1 species
GGAAUAUUGGGCAAUGGGGGGAACCCUGACCCAGCCAUGCCGCGUGAGGGAAGUAGGCCCUACGGGUCGUGAACCUCUUUUGUCCAGGGACAAGGACGGCGUCGGGAACGCCGUUUGAGGGUACUGGAAGAAUAAGCAUCGGCUAACUCCGUGCCAGCAGCCGCGGUAAUACGGAGGAUGCGAGCGUUAUCCGGAUUCAUUGGGUUUAAAGGGUGCGCAGGCGGCCGGGCAAGUCAGCGGUGAAAGUCAGGGGCCCAACCCCGGAAGUGCCGUUGAUACUGUUCGGCUGGAAUGCGGUCGAGGCGGGCGGAAUGUGGCGUGUAGCGGUGAAAUGCGUAGAUAUGCCACAGAACGCCGAUAGCGAAGGCAGCUCGCCAGGCCUGCAUUGACGCUCGGGCACGAAAGCGUGGGGAUCGAACA